GACGUAGGGCGCGAGCGUUGUCCGGAUUUAUUGGGCGUAAAGAGCUCGUAGGCGGUUCGGUAAGUCGGGUGUGAAACCUCCAGGCUCAACCUGGAGACGCCACCCGAUACUGCUGUGACUCGAGUCCGGUAGGGGAGCGUGGAAUUCCUGGUGUAGCGGUGAAAUGCGCAGAUAUCAGGAGGAACACCAGCGGCGAAGGCGGCGCUCUGGGCCGGUACUGACGCUGAGGAGCGAAAGCGUGGGUAGCAAACAGG
rnacentral:rRNA from 1 species